AUUGAACGCUGGCGGCAGGCCUAACACAUGCAAGUCGAACGAGUGGCGGACGGGUGAGUAAUGUCUGGGAAACUGCCUGAUGGAGGGGGAUAACUACUGGAAACUGUCUCUAAUACCGCAUACCAUCAGAUGUGCCUAGAGGGGAUUAGCUUGUAGGUGGGGUAACGGCUCACCAAGGCGACGAUCCCUAGCUGGUCUGAGAGGAUGACCAGCCACACUGGAACUGAGACACGGCCCAGACUCCUACGGGAGGCAGCAGUGGGGAAUAUUGCACAAUGGGCGCAAGCCUGAUGCAGCCAUGCCGCGUGUACGAAGAAGGCCUUAGGGUUGUAAAGUACUUUCAGCGGGGAGGCGUUACCGGCAGAAGAAGCACCGGCUAACUCCGUGCCAGCAGCCGCGGUAAUAC
rnacentral:rRNA from 1 species